rnacentral:rRNA from 1 species
UUGAUGGGAGCUUGCUCCCUGAUAGUCAGCGGCGGACGGGUGAGUAACACGUGGGCAACCUACCUUUAAGACUGGGAUAACUUCGGGAAACCGGAGCUAAUACCGGAUAAAAUGUGAGACCACAUGGUCUUACAUUAAAAGAUGGCUUCGGCUAUCACUUUUAGAUGGGCCCGCGGCGCAUUAGCUAGUUGGUGAGGUAAUGGCUCACCAAGGCGACGAUGCGUAGCCGACCUGAGAGGGUGAUCGGCCACACUGGGACUGAGACACGGCCCAGACUCCUACGGGAGGCAGCAGUAGGGAAUCUUCCGCAAUGGACGAAAGUCUGACGGAGCAACGCCGCGUGAACGAUGAAGGCUUUCGGGUCGUAAAGUUCUGUUGUUAGGGAAGAACAAGUACCAGAGUAACUGCUGGUACCUUGACGGUACCUAACCAGAAAGCCACGGCUAACUACGUGCCAGCAGCCGCGGUAAUACGUAGGUGGCAAGCGUUAUCCGGAAUUAUUGGGCGUAAAGCGCUCGCAGGCGGUCUUUUAAGUCUGAUGUGAAAGCCCACGGCUCAACCGUGGAGGGUCAUUGGAAACUGGGAGACUUGAGUGCAGAAGAGGAGAGUGGAAUUCCACGUGUAGCGGUGAAAUGCGUAGAGAUGUGGAGGAACACCAGUGGCGAAGGCGACUCUCUGGUCUGUAACUGACGCUGAGGAGCGAAAGCGU